rnacentral:lncRNA from 1 species
UGAAAAGCAAGCCAAUCCAAAGAUAAAAUUAAUUUCUAAUGAAUCACACAACACCAUUACGAAAUACGGAUGUAAUUUAGAAACUAACAUGCAUGUCUUUAAAACAAAAAUAGCUCAACUAUACUAAGCAGUUCCAACUGCUUACUAUGGAAGACAGUACUACAAAUGGUGAUUUUUUGAGUGUAAUGUUUUGUUUUCCUGACAAACUCAGGGUUUCUAUUUAUAUUGCUGUUGCGAUUACUACUUGCUUCAUUAGCUGAUGAUCUUGGCCUUAGUCUUUUGGGAGACGUAACACCACCAGGUGCCAGAAUAGUAGGUGCAGAAGAUUUGUCUCUGGAUGAUACUGCCAUUCGAGGUGCAUGUUUCAUGGAUUCCAGUUCAUUUGACAUUAGGGAGUUGAUUGUCCCAGUGGUUCCAACUUUGAUGGACCCUCCACCACCUUUGAUGGACUCCAAUCUCUAUCAGAGUUCUGAGUAGAACUUUUGUAAGAGAAACUUUUAAAAUCUCUUCAGCUAGUUGGGACAGAAUAUGAGUAAAUGCAGUUUAACCCUGAUAAAAGUAAAAUAUUAAGCAUAAUGUAUAAGAUGUAGAUUAUUAGCCAAAAAAUUUAUAGUAGAACUUGAAGUAACUCUUUUUUAGUAUUAAAGUUUCUAAUGAAAUACCAAAUGUUAAAAAGAAUCCUAAGAUGUAAAGUUAAUCAAUACAAACAAAGAGAAGAUUCUAACUGCAAUCUUUUUAAACAGAAGGAGUGGAGAGCAAAAGAGACGGAUCUGAUUUUAGCUAAUAAAGCUUCAUAAUUUAAAAGGAAACAAACAUUAUGUGCUAAUUAAAAUCAUAAGGAAAAGACAGUUAUUUCUGUACCCAAAAUCCAAAGAGCACAAAAGUACCACCCUUCUUCUAAAAGGGAACUUUGGUUAAAUCCAAAAAAAUCAAAUAAAAAGGGAAAUAACUUAAGCAACAAAUUCACAUAUUGAUAAUAAUUAACAGUGAAAGAUUCAUGUUGUAGUCUAAUUAUGUCAACCGAUGCUUCUUGAUUUGGAAGCUUUUCUUAAACUUAAACCUCAGGAACCAUAUCGGAAAACUAUGCAAAGCAUACAUAUAUUGGUUGGCUUGAAUUGCAGAAUACAUUUAAUUUUGUGACCCCUUUUAAGGAAAAACUUUGGAGUCACUGAUCGAACCAACACAGUGGUCUGAGAGAAGUAUCUCAGCUCAAGUGAUCCCAAUGGGCUCAGUUAGAAAAAGAGUUCAAUAACUGUAUACUUAUAUCAUCAAAUUAAAGAAAAAUUUAAAUUCGACAAUACUUAUAGCUUGCAAAGAAGCUAUUACCUUUUAAUCCAAGUUAUACUCAAACCCACAUUUACACACAAACUUAACUCUGAACCAACCAAGAUUGGAAAUAUAAUAAAUGUUCAAACCAAAAAUCAAUUUGUUAACAAUUAGAGGCUAUGGUUGAGAUAGACUCUACAUGAAGUGACUAAAACCAUCUACUAUUCCAAACUAUAGUUUAAUAACUCAUAUGCAUAAUUUACUUGCCAACAAUAAAAAAAAUAUGCAUAAUUUUUUUUUUUUUGAGCAAAUAGCGAAUGAGAAUCAACACACCAUCUGACAACCAAUUGCCUUGAGCCAUUGUACUCUGUUAAAAGCAUAAUCAUGAAAUAACUUUGGCUCACAUUAACAACAAAAGGAAUAUGAAGCUGAAUUCGCCCAAAUCAAUAAAAUACACCACAAAAACCCUAGCUUGUAAAACACCAUAAUUCAAUAAAAUUUAAACCACAUAAAAUUAGACAAUACUCGGUACCCAAUUCACACCAACAAACAACAAUGAGGCUUAUAUAUAACAUAAACUCAACAACGAGAAGACGCGUAAAAAUUGACAAACAUAUGUAUAUACAUACAUGUAGAGAGAGAGGGGUGGAAGAACGAAACCUGCUUGGGGGAGAAGAGCUUGAGCGAUUUUUGAUUUGGGAAACGGAAGUGAGUGGGUCAAAGAAGAACAUACUGGAUCGAUUUCUCAUUUUGGGGGAAAAGAACAUGUCGUAUCGAUUUCUCAUUUUGGGAGAGAAUUAAGAACAUGUCGGAUCGAUUUCUGAUGAUUGGGGGUGGGGGAGCUCGAGUGAUUUCAUCGCUCUGAAAGGAGAGAAGCUCUGAGUGAUUUCUGAGAGGAGAAGCUCUGAUUUGGGAGGAUAGAAGUGUGAAGCGUGUUUUUUAAAAUAAAUAUUCCAAAACGACGUCGUUUUGGAAUACUGUGUACAAAAAAAAAGGCACGGCUGUGCACAUCCAUUUUACCCUUUUUAUAAAUAAAGUUGUACAUAUUAUGUGAGAUGGAAGUAUAAAAUAUAUAUAAUGUAAAUUAUGUUUAUGUAUGUGUAAAGAACUUGAUAAAAUAAGUAUUAGUAUAUUUAUAAGUAUGUAGCAUAAUCGCAAGCUGAGAGCUAGAAUUAGGAACCGAAAUUGGGACUUAAGAAAUUAAAGAAGCUAAGUUAGUUGGAUAAGAUGAGUCAGGAAAGCAAGCAGAAGGUGGCAUUGUCAUGAGCAAUUAGAGUGCCACUAACCCAAAUUAAGCUCGAGUUGUCAACUAAUAAAGAUUCUAGCAGUACAUUAAGCUACAUGUAAAGUUAAUAUGUAACUCAUUAUCUGAUGGAAGGAAAAAGCUACCCAAUUCAUCAAGGAACCAAAGUUAUAAUCUAAAAUUGAGGAGGAGCUAGAGCAGCUGUUACCAAAAGAGAAGAUUCAAGUUAAUCUCUAAGCAAGGUUGAAACAAAAGUACAUCAAUAAGUGGUAAUUCGUGUAUGUCUAUGACCAUAAGAAAUUGAGUAAUAUUGAUGUAAUCAUAUUAUUUGCUUGUGAAAUUGGUUGGGUAUUAGUAUUGUAUAAGCUCUGAAGUGAUAAGUGAUAUGGAAAAUCCUUGGUUAGAACCAUGACUAAAAGCUUAUAAAAUCUGAAAUCCUAAGCUAUGCAUGUAAGAUGCUUGAUAAAACACCUCAAAGAGGUUUAAUUCCUAGAAAUUGAUAAUUGAGCAGAGCUUGGGGCUAGAUAAUCUUUAUAUAUGUAUUAUAAGAGGGCUAAUGAUUCAUGAGUAUUAGAACAAGUCCAAAACGAAAUCAGUAAGUUUUUGCUAAACUUGAAUUUGAUUAAACGGCAUUUUUAAGCCUCUGAAAUCAUGUCAUAAAGAAUCUGAAUUGGUCAUGUUAUAUUUUUAUAAAAUACCUUCUAGUACCAUAAAGAACAUAUCAAAAUUUGGAGGCAAUCGAAUAAAGAGACUGCAAGAUACAAGAUCGCAAAAUUUGCAGAAUCUGGGCUGACCAGCCACUUUUGACACCCUGUACAUUUUCUUUAAAGUGCUUGUUUUGGUCAAGUAGUAUUUUUAAAAAAUACUAUGUAGUACCAUCUUGAUGCUGUAAAAAUUUGGAGGUUAACGGACUUGUAGAUUAAAAGAUAGAAAAUGGAAAAGUAGGUUCGAAGCUCAGCGAAAUUUGCAGAUUUCUGGACUUUUUGGCUCGCUGAAUCUAUGCCUUAGAGAACCUGUUUUAAUCAAGUAGUAUUUUUAUAAAAUACUAUGGAGUACCAUCUAUAACAUAUUAAAAAUUGGAUUCAAUCAGAUGUACGAAUUUCAAGUUAUAAAAUCUCAAAGUAGGCAAGAAGUGAAGCAAAUCUGCAGAUUUUGGAUGCACCAGCAGCCGCGCGCUGUGGCUGCCCAGCUGCGCGCUGUGGCUGCCCAGCUGCAUGCGGCGUUUCAUUUUCAGUUCCAAUCGCGACGCCGAGUUGUUUUUAAUCCGAUUUUAGACGCUAUGUAAAUGAGCUAUUAAAAAUCAAUAAAAAUUAAUGUGGUAUAUAUAUUUAAUCUAUAAUAUUACUAAUAAAUCCAAUGAAAUGGAUAAAAUUAAGAUUGAAAUAUUAAACUUUGGAAAUGCAAGUUUAAAAUGAAGUUCAUGAAAUAUAAAUGUAUUAAGCUAUGUAAUAACAUUACAUGUGUUACAUAGGUGCUACGCAAGAUAACAACGCUUCGGGUACACGGAAACAUAUUGCUACGGUAGCGUUGAAUCAGGCAAGUUUUUCGUUUUCGUUUGUAUUACAUGAACUUGAUAUUGUUUAUGUGCAAUCAUUGUUGUGUUAUGAUGCGAUUGUUAGGAAUAUGUUGAAAUAUAUGUUGGGUUGCAAUAUUAUAUGAAUUGUUUUAGUCAAGUUAUGAUUAAAAGUCAAUUGAGUUACGGACACUCAAUUUAUUUGUGAUAUGUGAAAUGAGAUAUGUGAGAAAUGUUAAAAUUGGCAUCACAUGAAGUAUGAUCUAAAUAUAAUAUUAUGAUGAAAUUGAAAGCUCGCAUGUGAAAAUGCAUAUAAUGAAUAUAUUGAGCAUAUGUAGAUGCACUAGACAAGUAUUAUGAUGCAUAUAUAGAAUGUAUAGCAUGAGCAACAUGAUGCAUAAUUGAAAUGCAUAGUAGAUAUGAAUGUGAUGCAUGAAAACGUUAGACUUGUUGGGCCGUCGCGCUCAUUCUUGCAAAUAAAUUUUAUUUGCAGUUAAAUGAAGAGAUUUCUGAAGAACAUGGCAGAAGAAUGGAAGCGCGCAUAGAAAACUAUAAACUAUUGUUUUUAUUAUUAUUAUUAUUAUUAUUAUUAUUGAUUAUGUGUUAAGUCAUAAUGACUUAUUGUAUUAAAACAGAAGCAAGUUGUACUAAUGUUGAAGUUUUCGGAUAAUAGAUAUUCGUUUUGAAACUGAGAUUUAAGGUUUACAUUUGUUAUUGUAAAGUAAAUUUACAUGAUGGAUGUAUUAUACAAAAGAUAAUGUAGCCAUGUAGGUUGUGAGUAUAUUAUACUAUGUGGGAAUCUAGUUUUCAUACAUCUAGUUGCUGGAUUACAACGAAGAGUAUGGAAUAAUAGAUAUGAUUUUGAAACAAGUCAAAUCGUAAAGGUUGCAAUUCAAAAAAUGAAAGAAUGUUAUAAAAGUUUUAAAUUUAUCCGUAUUUUUUUUAUUAUUAUAUCAAUAAAUGAUAAAAAGGUAUGAUGAGAUUGUAUUAACAGAAUAGUCCUGAUUUUGGGGGCGUUACACAAGCUGAUAUGACAUAAAUUGCAAGUCCCCAGGUUCUCCUUUAUUAUGUGGAUGACAAAUUUACAAAAGUUUCAAACUCUUGAUUGCAUUGUAAAAUAUUCUUAUAUUCUGGAUCUUAGAUGUCUUUGCACUCUUUACAAUGAAAAUCAUUCUCAUCUUUUCUUUGAAUGUGAUUAUUCUCGCUCCAUUCUAUCUACCAAUUGGCAUGCUUUGCUUAAUUGGGUUAUUAGUAAUUCAGCAAAACGAGUUCACAAGUUGAUAUUGAAAUUACUUAUUGCAACGACAGUUUACUCUAUUUUGGACCGAGUGCAAUUUCAGGUUUCACUCCAACCCAAGUCUUCCAACCCAAAUCCUCUCUUCUAUUAUUCUUAAUAAAAUCAAAUGCAAAUUAGUUUCUUUUGUUAAAUUUUAGAAAGUUAAAUUUUUUGAUAAUUCUCUUUUAUUUGGGAUGUAUAAUCUACCAUUGAUUUCUAGUUGACAUCUCAUAUGAUCUGCAUAAAAGGCUCCUACUUAUUCAAAUAUGGGGUAUGCUCAUUUGUUAUUGUAUAUAUUUUCUUUUUAAUAGUCUUAAAUUUAACAAAAAAAAGUGUUAAUUUUGUCACUUCAAAAUUCAACAAUUACUUGGAGGGACGUAUAUGUAAUUUAGUCCAAAAUAAUUUAUCUCGGUUGGAAUGUGUAUUAAUCAAGGUGAAAUUCACCAAAAAAUAACAACAAUAAAAAUAAUUGAAAAAACUAAACUAUAAAAUCAAUAUUAAAUUGUUAAAAGUCAAUUUUAAAUAUUUUUAAACUUAAAAUUGAGAUGAUUCAUUUAAGUUUUAAAGAGGAUAAAUAUUAUAACUAAUAUAAUUAAUAGUACUUUUUAUAUAGUUUAUAAUAUUGGUAAUUGAAUCAACUUAAAUUAAAUGAAUUCACAUCAAUUAUAAAUUAAAAAAGUGCUUAAAAAUAAUUUUUAAAAAGUCAAUAUUGAUUUUAUAAUUCAAAACGGAUGAAUUACAACAAUACCUUACUUGAGAUUCCAUGCUUAAUAUGGAUUAGGGUCACAACCAAAUUACAUUAUACUCCCUCCGUUCCUUAAUAUAAGUCGUUUUAAAAAGAAAAAAAAUUCCUUAAUACAAGUCAUUUGAGAAUUUGAAGUAAGUAUUAAUUGCAUAGUUUCCAAUAUUACCCCAAGUAAUAAAUAUAACUUUGGUUCUCUCGUAAUUUUUUGCCCAAUAAAUAACAUUCUAUUUUUCCAAUACAAAGACAAUAUAAACAAUUAAUAUUAUAUUUAAUGCUAUACAAUUAUUUUCUUAAUAGUUAUGCACAACUUUAAAAUAACUUAUAUUAAAAAACGGAGGGAGUAUCAUAAAUAGAGUAGAAACCCUAACCUACAACUUUUGCUACAGGAUACAAACUCUGCACACCCAACAUCGAAUCCAAUUUCCAAGGCUAAACACCCUUUAACAUGGAUUGCACUUCUUUCACAAAAUAAUUCGUAAUCUCAUAACCAGUUUCAUCCAUAUGUUGUUCAAGAUACGAAUUCUAGUCAAUCUACAUGUACAAAGAUUUCUCAUCCCUUCUCAAAUAUCAACAAGAAUGGGAACAAUUUUGUUUCCUUCUUACUCCCAUCUUUUUUUAUCUCGCGGAUGACAUUCUUACACUGCAAAAGACAAUAAAGGCGUUAUAUUUUAAUUUUAUUUUUGUUAAUGACGUUGUGACGCACGCGCAGAUACACACAUACACGCACAGAACUCUUAUUUUAUACAAUAUUAAUGGUUAAAUUAUAAAUUAUGAAGAUGAGAAGUGCGUUUAAAAUAGGCUUAAAUAUAAUUUACUACCCUAACUAUAGGUCAUAUUUCACUUCAGUUAUCCACCUUUCAAUUUUGUCAAUUAGAUGAUUGAACUAUCAAUUUUUUUCACUUUGGUUCAAUUAAGUUUGUCACGUCAUAAAUUGAUGUCGUGGCUCGCUGACUAGACAAAAUAAACACCGCAUAAACCAAGAUCCGAACAAACCCAAGGAAGGACAUCUUCCAAAAUCCGAAGCAAGCCAGCACAGAACAUCAAGAUCCUUUUACCCAAUCCCAAAAGGCCCCAAAACCGCCAUAUCAGAUCAAAUCCUCCAACAUCCAUUACACACAAGAAACUAUACUCCCCUACUAAUCUUAGCGAAUAAAAACUCCACGAUCUAGCCGUCCUCGAACUUGGUAAAUAUAGAUCGAAAAAAUUGACUUUCGAGUGAGCCCACGAAAUCAGCCGCCGGAAAGACAGAGAACAGAACUCAAGCAAGAAAAAAGUGGUGCAAAAAGGAGAUGGAAGAUUUGGUGGGCCGAGGAGGAGGAGGGAGGGAGGGGUAAAAAGGCGAUCCGAAUGUAAAGGAUGGAGACUAAGCUUGAGGAAGAAAUUACCUGAAAGGAUUUGGUAAUGUUAAGAGUAUGGCCGGAGUAUUUGUUAAUGAUUUUUAUUUAUUUACAUUUUUGCCCUCCAAUAUAACAAAAUUUUUGAAAUUUUAUUUGAAAACUUAUUUUUUUUAGUACACAUCAGCACAAAUUUGUGUAGUCAACGAGUCACGUCAGCAAUUUCUAACGUGUCAAGCUCAAUUGAAUGGAAUUGAAAAAAAUUAAUUGUUUAAUCAUCUAAUUGACAAAAUUAAAAGGUGAAUCACCGAAGUGGAAUAUGGCAUAUAGUUUAAGGUAGUAAUUUAUAUUUAAGCCUUUAAAAUAUAAUCAAGAAGAAUAUUAUUUAGUCAUGCAAAAUGUUAAAGAAUAUGUCGUCUAACAAAUAAAUAAAUCAAUGGACCAAAUAAUGCACAUUUUUAGGGUGGUAGAUUUUGGAAAAUAAAUCGAUGGACCACAUAAUGCUAAGGGGAUAGAUGCACAUACAAGUCGAGGCAACAAGAUAACCUAGUGAUAGAGGUCUCUCUACAUAUAAACUUAGGCAAUAUGCUUAGGGGUGUUAACAAUCAACCUCAAUCGGCUAUUGAGAACAAAUGUGUCAAAUAUUAUAUGUUAUUACUCUUCUUGUAAUGAAGUAGCUCGUUACCUUCGAAUAAAAUAGGGAUUCCUAAUCGAGGAAGGCUAUUUGUGUUUCCUGAUUAACCCAUGAAGGAUUUGGAAUUUUGGAGUGUCAUAAUCUAUGAAUGUUUGUAUAAUGCUUUAUAAACUUGUGAUUAACACAAGGCAAGUCAAUGAUUUGUAAAAUAGGUUCUUCAAGUCAAGUGAAGUAAUUCUCACCACGGAUGUAGGCAAGUUUGGCCCACCACGUCAAAUUAUUAUUUGUUGCUUUUGUAAUCUUGUUCUUAUUGUUCAUUAUAUAGUGUUGGAAUUUUUGUUUAUUUCUUAAUUAUCAUGAAUUAUGUGAGAUUCUUCAAUGCAAUUAGAUAUGAUCAAUGUAAGCAUUUGAAAGGUCUCAAAACCCUAACAUAGAUGACCAAAGAAAAGAUCAAACCCCCAUCUGGCUUAUUAGAUAGAUAUAUAGGGCUAAAAGCAAGGUUCGAAAUAGCGCUCGAGGGGUAAGCCUCGAGGCGCGCCUCGUAGCGAGGCGAAAGAAAUAGUUUGUGAGGCUGCCGCUUAGUUUGGAAUCGCAGAAACAUACGCCUUUUGUUGUCGAAGCUUACGCCUCGUGGCGUUGCGCCUCGAGGCGUCGCGAGGCGUGCGCCUCGAUUUGGCUUAAAAAAAACCCUAAAUAUCAGAUUCGGCUCGACUUACCAUUACCGAAGGCGUGCGUAGCGUGCGCCUCGUUGCACCUCAAGGCGUCGCGAGGCGUGCGCCUUUUUUUUCUGUUUUUGUUUUUUUUCUGUUUUUCAUUUUUCUUUUUUCUUUUCUGUUUUCCUCCUCUGAUUUCUGUUUUGUUUUGUUUUGUUUUCUGUUUUGUUUUUUUAUAACUACAAUUUUUGUUGUGUACAAUAAUGUAUCUGCAUUGUUUUUAUUGUGUUCUGUUUUUGUUGUGAUUUUACCAAUAGUGUUUGUAGAGAAUUUUGAACAAAGUAUGCAUCUAAUAUUUCUCAAUUCAUAAUUUUUUUAUUGUGUUUAUGUUUCAUUUGAACUUGCAUCUGAUCAGAAAAUCUAUAUAUUUAUGUGUAUUUGCUUCUCUAUGUAUGUCAAUGUAUACAUUAUAUGUGUUUAUAUGUAUAUGUUCUCGUUCAUUUCAUCAUGAUCGUGUUUUACAUGCUUUGACUUUAGCUCCACUAAUUUCAGCUGUAUAUAUGGCUGUAUAUGUAUCUGUACUUUCCAUCAAAAAUUAUGCAGAACUGUAUUUAAUCUUGAUACAUUACUGUGACGUUGGUUAUUUAUGUCUUCUAUGACCUUAAUUGUAAUGAUGAAUUAUUUUAUGGUUUUAUUAGUAUUUUUUCAUAAUUUUUUGGGGACUUUUAGGUCUUUCAAUCAAGGCUUCCGCCUCGCUCCACCUCGAGGGUUACGCCUCGCAUAGCCCAGAGAAAAACGCCUCGUACCGAUUUUAGCUUUUUCAAACAUUGGCUAAAAGCACUUUAGUCCACGAAAUUUCAGCAGGUUUAUAAUUCAGUCUCUAAAGUAUAACUCCUCCUGAUAUAGACCCCCAAGUACAUAAACACGAUGGACUCUAAUAAAAACUCGGUGUUUAUAACUGAAAAUGUGAUGUGCAUGUCACAUGACUUCAAAUGCAGUUUGACCUUAUUUGAUGUGUAUUGAAAUUGUAUAAAUACAAACACUUAUUCUUAAGAGAUGAUCAAUAUUAAACCCAAGUAAUUAAACCCAAAAAUAACUAAUCCUAUCGAUUUACAUAAUUUUUUCUAACAAAAUAAAUAAUCCAAAUAAAAAUAAUUAAUCCUAUUAAUUAAUACAAGUAAAAUAAUCAGCCCAACUAAUUAAAUAACAUAGUUAACCCACAAUAUAAUUUUUUUAAAAAAAUCAACAACAAUACGAAAAUGAAAUCAAUACCAAAAUUAAUAAUAAAAAAAUAAAAAUAAAAAUAAAAAACAAAAUCAGAACACAACACAACACAACAGUACAAGAAACUAGUACACAUUAAUUAUAAACAAAAGCACGGAAUGUAUAAAAAUUGAAAUUUGAAAUUAGUAACUUAUCUACAAAUCAAAAUCCAAAAUAAAGAAAUGCCAACAUUUAUUCAAUCACCUAAACCCACCACACUCAUAUAGUCAACCAAAUAAAAUCCAAUAUCAAAACUCAUUUCUAUCUCUCUUUGUUGUUGUUGGUGCUUAUGAUUAUCAUCUUGAAUUUGAGUAUGUCAUAGACCCUUUUGUCGUUUCUUGAGAUUGAGAUUAGCUGAUAAUUUGAAAAAGAAAGGAGAAGAGAGAGAAAGACAGAAAGUGUUGGUCUAUCAUUGUCUCGUAUUAUGGGGAAUAUGGGAAAAAAGAAACCAAACUCUGUUUCAUAAGGAGAGAAAGGAGCGGAAGAUGAGUGGUAGUCAAGAGGAGAGAGAAACUAGUAUUAUUGUUUUAGUUUUGAUUUUAAUUUCUCUUUUUGUUUUUUUACUAAAAAAAUUGUUUAAUAUUAAUACGGUAAAAUUGUAUUUUCGAUUCAAAUCAAAGAUAUGUCGCACAACAUUAGUAAUAAAAUAUUUUUGAAACAUUAUACUGAUGAUUAUAAGUAUCUAACUAUUUAAAGAGCACAAGAGUAUAAAAUAUGUCAUAUGUAGUCAAUCUCAAAUAAAUAAGAUAUUUAAUGAAAAUAACAUCAAUCAUGAACCUUUUGUUAAAUGUUAAUCAUGAGCGGAAACAUGUGUCAAUUCUCUUGUAGAAAAAUUGAAAAAUAAACUUUAUUCAUAUUGGUUGAGACAUAUCUUUUCUUACCUGACUCAUUUAAGAACAUGAGAUCUUCAAAUUGAAAUGUCAUAAACAACAAUCGAUCGAGACAUCGACACUAGGAUAAUCAACAUUUCGUUUAUAUAUGUCACCUACAUAAGUACAGGUGAAAGUUAGUUAUAAAAGGAAAGAAUGUACAAAUAAUAAUCAAUAUUCACUUUACAUCACACAAUAAACGUACAAAAUGAUAAUUUACAUCUAUACAUAAUUCAAAGGUGAAAUUAAUUAACUUUUCGACAAAAUUUCAGGAAUCUAGAAUUAACGUUUUAGCACAAAAUCAAUGUUGAGUCAACAAUCAAUCAUCAAAAUGGGGACCAUCAAGUGAGAUCGAGACCAAAAUAAAAUUUGAAUACAAAUUGCGAUAUAGAUUAUUUGAAAUUCCAUAAUUACUUAGCGAGGGAGAGAGGAAAUUAUUAGUAAAACAUAUUUAUGUACAAACUUUAAUGUUACUCGAACAAUCACUUAAUCGAGAAUUAAAAUUGAAGCAUGAAAAUAGAGAAACGUUACCAGUUACAGUUAGUGAUGACGGACGGAGGUGAUAGUUCCCUAGGUUAGAAAUGGAGGCGACAAAGAAAUUGAGAGAGAGAGAGAGACGCAGUCCGGGAGUGUAGGGUAAAAAGUGAAAGCAUAAAUAAGAA